rnacentral:rRNA from 1 species
UACGUAGGGUGCGAGCGUUGUCCGGAAUUACUGGGCGUAAAGCGUGCGCAGGCGGUGAUGUAAGACAGAUGUGAAAUCCCCGGGCUCAACCUGGGAACUGCAUUUGUGACUGCAUCGCUGGAGUGCGGCAGAGGGGGAUGGAAUUCCGCGUGUAGCAGUGAAAUGCGUAGAUAUGCGGAGGAACACCGAUGGCGAAGGCAAUCCCCUGGGCCUGCACUGACGCUCAUGCACGAAAGCGUGGGGAGCAAACAGG